AUUGAACGCUGGCGGCAGGCCUAACACAUGCAAGUCGAGCGGAUGAAGGGAGCUUGCUCCUGGUUUCCUCGGCGGACGGGUGAGUAAGGCCUAUGAAUCUGCCUCUUCGUGGUGGAUAACGUCCGCUAACGGGCGCUAAUACUGCAUACGCCCAGCGUCAGAAAGUGAGGGAUCUUCGGACCUCACGCUAUCAGAUGAGCCUAGGUCGGAUUAGCUAGUUGGUGGGGUAAGGGCCUACCAAGGCGACGAUCCGUAACUGGUCUGAGAGGAUGAUCAGUCACACUGGAACUGAGACACGGUCCAGACUCCUACGGGAGGCAGCAGUGGGGAAUAUUGGACAAUGGGCGAAAGCCUGAUCCAGCCAUGCCGCGUGUGUGAAGAAGGUCUUCGGAUUGUAAAGCACUUUCAGUUGGGAGGAAGGGAAGUAAGUUAAUACCUUGCUGUUUUGACGUUACCAGCAGAAGAAGCACCGGCUAACUUCGUG
rnacentral:rRNA from 1 species